ACGGAUCCUUCGGGUGACGGAUCGGAUGGAGAGCGGCGGACGGGUGAGUAACGCGUAGGUAACCUGCCCUGUACAGAGGGAUAGCCACUGGAAACGGUGAUUAAUACCUCAUAAUGCCGGAUCUGCACAUGCAGGACCGGUCAAAGUUUUUUCGGUACAGGAUGGACCUGCGUCUGAUUAGCUUGUUGGUGGGGUAACGGCUCACCAAGGCGACGAUCAGUAGCCGACCUGAGAGGGUGAUCGGCCACAUUGGAACUGAGACACGGUCCAAACUCC
rnacentral:rRNA from 1 species